GACAGUAAGGACCGUAUACCUCCACGACCAGAGUAAUCUCUUUCAGUGGUUUAACUUCAAGAGGAAGGGAAAAUACUCUCUCUCUCUCUCUCUAAUUGCCCUCCUCUCUGGCCCCCUGCUGCGAAGGAGCUCAUCCUCGAAUCGUUCGGUGUUUUCAGAUAUUUUUGUGUUCAAGAAUCGCAAGAUGUCGAAAGCAGGCGCAUUGGAUCUGGCAUCUGGUGUUGGUGGAAAUAUUGAGAAGAAAGAAGUUCUUUCUGCUGUUGAUCAGUAUGAGAAGUAUCAUGCCUCUUUUGGAGGCGACGAGGAACAGAGAAAAGCUAACUACACUGAUAUGGUG